rnacentral:rRNA from 1 species
GCAUCAGUAACGGCGAGUGAAGCGGCAACAGCUCAAAUUUGAAACCUGCCAACCGGCCGGAUUGUAAUUUGCAGAGGAUGCUUUGGGAAAGGUACUGAUCUAAGUUUCUUGGAACAGAACGUCACAGAGGGUGAGAAUCCCGUCCGUGGUCGGCCGCCUGCCCCGUGUAAAGCUCCUUCGACGAGUCGAGUUGUUUGGGAAUGCAGCUCUAAAUGGGUGGUAAAUUUCAUCUAAAGCUAAAUAUUGGCCAGAGACCGAUAGCGCACAAGUAGAGUGAUCGAAAGAUGAAAAGCACUUUGGAAAGAGAGUUAAACAGCACGUGAAAUUGUUGAAAGGGAAGCGCUUGCAAUCAGACUUGGGCGCGGGUACUCAGGGACGGUUCGCCGUUCUGUAUUUGCCCGCGCACAGGCCAGCAUCAGUUUUGGGGGUGGGAUAAAGGCCGUAGGAAUGUGGCUCUUCGGAGUGUUAUAGCCUACGGUGCCAUGCCACCUCCCGGGACUGAGGACCGCGCUUCGGCUAGGAUGCUGGCGUAAUGAUUGUAAGCGACCCGUCUUGAAACACGGACCAAGGAGUCUAACAUCUAUGCGAGUGUUUGGGUGUCAAACCCACACGCGGAAUGAAAGUGAACGGAGGUGAGAGCCCUUGAGGGUGCAUCAUCGACCGAUCCUGAUGUCUUCGGAUGGAUUUGAGUAUGAGCAUAGCUGUUGGGACCCGAAAGAUGGUGAACUAUGCCUGAAUAGGGUGAAGCCAGAGGAAACUCUGGUGGAGGCUCGCAGCGGUUCUGACGUGCAAAUCGAUCGUCAAAUUUGGGUAUAGGGGCGAAAGACUAAUCGAACCAUCUAGUAGCUGGUCCUGC